rnacentral:rRNA from 1 species
GUAUUGANGGUGANGCCUGCCCGGUGACGUGGUGUUAAACGGCUGCGGUAUCCUAACCGUGCGAAGGUAGCGCAAUCAAUUGUCCCGUAAAUCGGGACUAGUAUGAAUGGCUAAACGAGGUUCUAACUGUCUCUUACAGGCAAUCGGUGAAAUUGAUCUCCCUGUGCAAAAGCAGGGAUAAACCCAUAAGACGAGAAGACCCUGUGGAACUUCAAAAUCAGCAGCCACCCCUAAAUACAUACACACCCAACCCGGGCUCACUUAUCCCACGGGCGAUGGCUUGCAAUUUUUCGGUUGGGGCGACCUUGGAGCAAAACAAAACCUCCAAAAAUUGGACCAUAUAUCCAGACUAAGAGCAACCUCUCAACGUGCGAAUAGCAACCAGAUCCAAUAUAAUUGAUCAAUGGACCAAGCUACCCCAGGGAUAACAGCGCAAUCUCCUUCGAGAGUCCAUAUCGACAAGGAGGUUUACGACCUCGAUGUUGGAUCAGGACAUCCUAGUGGUGCAGCAGCUGCUAAGGGUUCG